UUUCUUCUUCGUCUGAUUCACAACACACACAAACCAAGAUCUUCAACACACAAAAAAUUCAGCUUUGACAGUAGAUAAUUGAAUUUUAGAUAUUAGGGGUAAAUUUUUCAAAAGCUAAACUCACACAUCCAUCAUUAGAUUUCUGACCAAAAAUCCUCCUAUAAAUAUUGAACUCUACUCACCAUAUUACUCAAGCAAACAAUCUCAAAAGACUCUGAUUUCGUAGACGAGGAAUAUCAAGAGUGCUAAUCCGUUCGUGAACUUAACUUUUGGGCACGCGUCUCGAGGUGGGUGAUCGAUCAGGGGAACAAAAGGGAGAUCAUUUAGAGUUGUCAUCCACUUAGCAUAUGAUUAGUUAUUGUUGGAACUAUGAAACACUUAAUUAAUUAGUAAUGCUUAAUGAACGAUUCACUUGGUUGUAAGGAUUAAUGAAUUUGAGUUUAGUUUGUUUUUAA